ensembl:lncRNA
GCGGCAUAUCCAACAGAGGGGGAGAUUAAAGAGCCUGAAACAUCGAGUGACUGUGAAACAGCUCAGUCAGUCACAAUCUGCUACUGUAGUCAAGAUGAAGUGAGUGUGCGUUCCCCUUGUUAAUACACUGUAAAAUCUAAUAUUGUGUUUAAUUAAAAAUAUUAAAUAGGCUGAACUAAAUUUUUAUCAAUUUGUUAUUAGAACUCAAUUUAAGUAAGUUACCAGUACUUUUUAUGCAAAAACACUGAUCAACUCAAUUUAUUUGAGUUGUCUUAACUUAGAAAAACUAAGUAAGCUGGAAGUUUUGCUUCUCAGUGCGGAAGGAUGAAAGAUGUGUUUUGAAAAUGCCGCGUCACUACCGUCCUCCUCCCUCUCGGAUCAGUCCGCAUGUUCACGGUGCAUUUUUUCUGGACUAUGUUGAGCAAACCUGGAGAAGCGUCAGCUCAAGAUAUUAUUGUUGUCAUUGCUGUGGAUCUUUACCUGAUACACUGACUUGGCUCGGGACCAGCACUCCUGUUGUUGGACAGAAAGACAUCAACUCAGUCGUAUUUUGGUUUUCCAAUAUAUUAGCAACUGUCAGUGACAUUUAUAUUAAUCAGGCUGAACUUGAAUCAUACUUUAGAUCAGCCUGUUUUACUUAUUGUUUUAUUUGUGCUUUGGUUUGGGGAAGUUGUUUCUUUACUGAUCUUUUCCUGUCUUCUGUUAUUAGACUUGAGAUAUGACUGCACUAUGCUGUUGCUGGUGACCACAGUUAAUUCUACAAGACAUGCUGUGUAAGUAAACAAACAACAACAGUUUGGUCUGCAUUUCUUGAAAGAUCACAUCCCCCAAACUUAGUUUAGAGGGUCUACACUGUAUAUAGUGAAGUCUGCAAGUUUUCUAACAGCAAAAUCUGUUUUGUGCCCAAAAUCAUUUUGCACAUCAUUAGAAUGAAAGUUAUUGGCCAUGUUUGCAUAGCCCUUUUUAAAAUGAUGCUUUCAUGACAUUAUUGUGUGUUGGGUGGUGGUCAGGGCUAUGCAGACUGACAAUUUGGGACAUUGAAUGUCACCUCUCAGGUGGGGAAGGAGCCUGAGAUUGUUUAAAUUGGAGUCUGUUUUAUACCAAAUGCAGAAAAAAAAAUAUUUUAAGAAAGCAAUUAAGUUCGUGUUCCAAAAAAUAUGAUUGUUUGCUUGCAGGACAACAGGAGAGAUGAGUCCUCCGUCACAGAUGGUGUGGUCAGUGAAGAUGGUCGCCUGCAGGUUCAAGCUCAUUGCAUCUCCAACCCACAUCCACUGCCACUGUACUUAAGGGAAGUUAAAGACUUUCUUCUGCACCUACAUUUGGAUCACCUCGAUCCAUGACAGUCAUUCAGGCAGUAAUGCCUGGCCUGGAAACAAGCCAUCCUUAAAACAUUACAACAUUCCAGCUCAUGUGUUGGAAUGGAAAACAAAUGUGUUGUUUAAAUUAGAGACUGCACUUGUGACAGAACAAUAAAUAUAUUUUAUUUUGAUUAUUUAAGUGAUGUAAGUACAAAACAAACUUGUGGUAGGCCUAAACUUAUUUUCAGAAUAAUUAAAUCUGAGACUUUGUUUCAUUGUAAGAUUAUAACAGUGAUGGCAAUAUAAUUGUUUGUUGUUCAGCAGAACAGUGUCCAGUAUGUUGGCUGUUAUACUUUGUUGUGUUUGAAAAUAAAAGUUGGGCUGAUUUUAACAUCAUUACAAAAAGUGUUGUUAAUUAUUUUUAAUCAUUCAGGUUACCACAAAUUGUUUUUUCAUUUAGUUGAACUUGAAAUGUUUCUCAGUAGGUAAACAAUUAGUAUUGUACAGUCAGAAAUACCAAGUUAUUCUUAAUACUGCAGACUUGCAAUGAAUAAGUUGUCCUAACAGUCAUCUUAAGUAAGCUUUACUAAGUUUUUUUGAGUUCUGGAAACUAAAUAGGUUUUUACACUGUACUCAAAGUGAAUAAGUUGCCUUAACUUAGUCAUCUUAAGUAAACUUUACUCAAUUUUUUUGAGGCAACGGGUUUGCAUAGUUUUUUUGAGUUCUGGGAACUAACGAGGUUGUACAGUGUACUCAAAAUGAGUAGGUUUGCCUACCUUAAUUAUUUUAAGUAAACUUUACUCAUUUUUUUGAGUUCUGGGAACUAAUGAGGCUGUACAGUGUAAAUAGGAACUCCUUUCCACUGGACCUAAGGUAUCAAUACUAUUGAUACCUUUAAAAAGAAACCUCAAGACCCACCUUUACCUUUUUUUACCUUUAUUUAGUUUUAUAUCUUUAUACCAUUUCAGUUGUUGCAUCUUAUUCUGAAUUGUAAAUCACUUUAUGAAUUUCAUUCUGAAAAAGAACCUUGAGUUGGUGAAAUCAGCUGAUUUAUGUUCAUGGCUCAGGCUACGUCCACAUGUAUUUUUGUAAACGGAGAUUUUCUGUUCUCGUCUAAAAAAAACCAAAACAAAUCCCGUCAAUACAUGCAGUUUUGAAAAAAUAUCUCCAUCCACGUGUAAACGCAACAAACAAAGUCAAACGCUGUCAAGAACAUGCCAAAGCAACAGGUGGCGAUAUAAUCCUAACCAUGUAGAAAUGUUGGCCAAUCGGCCAGUCUGGAAGCCUGGGAGGGAAAGAGUAAACAAAGAUGGCGCAUAAAAGCAGUCUUUCUAAAUGGAGGGACAGUAACUGCGUGUAUAUGUACAAGUGUAAAAGCUGCAGAUAGUCAGAUUAACAGCAACAGUAUUUUGUCUAUAUCUGCCAUUGUAGAAAUUCAUCUCAUGUAAAAAAUAACGUGGCGCACAGCGUGACGUAAAAAAAACGCAAACCUUUCACGUUGCGUGACUAAAUCUGUUUUCCUCGUCCACAUGUAAACGCAAAAACAUGAAAAUCUCCACCCUUGCAGGAGUUUUUAAAAAAAAAAUCUCAGUUUUCAGCAUUCCAAAACACAGCGGACAAAAGGCCCAAAUGCAUAGAAAAAGCUCAGUUUUCAAAAAUACCCAUGUACGUGUCGACGUAGCCUCAGUCAAGAGUAAAAACUAGACUAAAUAUAGUACAGCAACCUGUACUAAUUGAAUAUUUGUUGGGGGGUUUUUGCAAAUACUUGCGGAGACCAACUCGUCGCCCGGAUGUUGAAGGUGUUGCAUGUUCAACCUCACAAGGUCAUUGCAUGGGUCUUCUUGUGGGUGGCAGUUUGUCUCCAAACAAUCAUAACCCAACUCGAACUGGUUGCAAUCACUGCUAGACAGAUCAGUGAACGUCUAACUUAAUUGCUGUAUUAUCACAAACAGAUAAUUAUGUAGGAGUGGCAUGGUAAAGAUUAGCACCAUCGCCUCACAGAAAGAAAGCCCUUGAUUUGAAUCCACUGUCCGGCUAGCACCUUUCUAGGUGGACUUUGCUUAUUCUCCCCAAUGUCUAUGUGGGUUCUCUCAGGUACACAGGACUCCUCCCACAGCCUAAAAGCGUGUAUGGUAGGUUAAUUGGUGAUUUGAUUUUAAAUUGGUUGUGAAUAGUUAACUCUCUUUUUGCAAUAGAUAGGCUACUUGUCCAAAGUGUACCCUGCACCUCACCCUGCGGGAGCUGAGAUGGACUCCAGCUCUGUAACCCUGAAAAGCAAGAGAAAAAAGAUGGAUGGAGAUUGCAUGUAAUUGCUAACCUGACCCCAUUCAUUAGCAGAAUGAUUCUAUCUUAUUGCUGUUUUAUUGCAGACUUGAUGAACCAAAGUUGCAACUCACUGCGAGUGGUCAUAGACCAGGUCCCCGUGAUAAAAGCUAUGCUAAAUGCAUGAAGGUUGCAAGUUUAUUGCACACAUUUGCAAUAACUUUUGCCGUACCAGCCACUGUUUUCCUAAUGUGAGUGUAGCACUACGCACUGAAAGCUACUUGGUUAAGCUUUGGCAAUAAAACCUCGGCUCCAAACCUGUUUGGCACGAGACCGGAUUGAAAAAGUACACGUAUCUAAAGAACUCUAUGAAAAAUUUACCCUUCAUAAACUUAAUUUACGACCUCAGUAAACACUUCCCUCAUAAGUUUAUGGCCUUAGCCGCUAAAGUUUCACUGAAGUCAGACUGAUAUUUAUUUUGUGUCAGAAGUGUUAUCUUAUUGGCACUUUGGUGAAAAUGAACCUUGAAGUACUGACGAAGCAGUGCACACAAUAGAACAGCUGCUCCUCUGCUGUCUGUGCUUGCUAACAAGGUGCUUGAUGCACUAAUGCUUCCAUUUAAACUGUCACACUUUUUCAGAAAACAGGACAAAACUGACCAACCACAAAGUAAAAAUGAGUCUGCCGUGGUUACAAACAUCAAUGCACACCUGCAUAUAUUAGACACCCAGGCGUUCUUUUAACUAGAUAUAUUGGAGUCAACAAGCAGCUGUAGCAUGGAUACAGUAAAGCUAAACAGGAGCUCUUCCAGGAGCACCAAGGUGCUGGUGAACUCACCUGUGCAGCACAAACCCUGCCUGAUCGCUCAUCCUCCGGCCCACUGAGAGCUUUCAGAGAGCUGUUGCUGCUCUGCAGACUCACAAAUGGCAAACAGGAAGGAGCUGCACACGAUUCAGGAUCCAGCGUGUGUCUGUGGACCAGGCGGCAGCGUGGGUGUGUUUGAUUAAGGCCACUGGACACGCAUGUUGAGCAGAGGACCAAUUUUGUCAUCCAUGGCUAAUAAUGAAUGUCCCACAGCUGAUAUUUUGAUAUUGUGAGCUGAUCUCAGGUCGCAUGUUAAUGGGACUAAAUGUUGUCACAUAGGACUUUAAUAGUAAUUUGCUGACUUCUGAAUCCAAUGGUACACACACACGAAAAGCUUGUUUUCAUUGAGCUGGAUUUACUAACAAUUCAUCUGAUAAACAACAUCUCAGUUAGAAUUUCAACAUCCAGGAACAGUGUGUACCAUUUAAAAGGUGACCACAUUAAAAUGUGGUCAGACGGAUGAAUUAUUGGAAGCAGGUCACCAGCUGUCAGCUCAGAGAGGAAACCUCACUAAGCCUCUGAUUCUUUUUAAGACCUCAGACAGAAUCCACCAACAUUAGGACUUUCAACAUUUCUUAAGCCUGCACCUUUCUGUCAUCUCAGAAGCCACACUGACGCUCAAACGCACACAUUAAAGCGAGUGUUUGUGGGCGACUCAUCGGAGGAGAAGUGUGGAGGACAGAUUUCUGCUGGAAAUUAUGGUUUAAUAUUUAAACAGCUGUGCUCCUUAUCGCAGGGAGGAUAACAUGAGCAGUGAACAUGUGCAAUCACGGCGCUGUUGUUUCUCUCUCAUUUAACAGCAUAUCAGCACUGCGUGUGAAACCAACAUUUGCUUUUCAAGGACACAUUUUCAACUUGGAGACCAAAAUAACACUAAAACUGAAGCUUGUAGAAGAACUUUCAGAGCCAAAACUUUAUGAACACAGUACCAGCUACUUCUGGUGUGUAGAUUCACAGUUACAGUAUAAAGAAGACAGAUUCUUGUGUAGCUUCCUUAUAAUCACCAAAGUUAUAAGAAAAAUGUUAAAGACUAGUGAGACACACAAAUACAUAUACUGUAUACAUAACAACUAAAUAAUGUUAAAUUAAAU